GGCGAUAUGGCCGAGCGGUCUAAGGCGCUAGAAUCAGGUGGCUGAGUCUAUCUUAUCUAGUCCUCACGGGCGUGGGUUCGAAUCCCACUGUCGUCA